ACACACACACACACACACACAAAGGAAUGGAAUGAUGUGUCCUGAGAAAAAGAGCUCAAAUGCACACAAAGGCACAUGAUAACUUGGAUCAUUGGCAUGUGUUCUAAUCAUCUUUUGGGCAAGAAGAACAUUUGGAUUGUUAUACAUGAAUAAUGACAGGUUCUUUAUGUUUUAACAUUAAACAAAGAAUACUGUUGUGGGGGGGGGCGGAAAGAGGGAGACAGAGAGAGACAGAGAGGAGACUGGGUGCUACUUAGGAGAAAGAAAACUAAUUGGAAACAUGUGCUAUAAUUACAGAUCCUUACAUUAUUUUCAGGGUAAUAGAUGCAUGGUAAAAUAUUUCCUUAUUUUAAAACAUUAAUUAUAGUUACAUUGUAAGUCUUUAUUAAUGUUAAGAAACUUAACAUUUAUUUCCUAUUAUAUAUUCCAAAUUCACACAGAUUCUGACACUCAAGUCAAGUUCCCUUUAAGUAGUUACAACCCAAAGGAACAGUUUUAAGUUGUUUCGUGAAAACAGUUUACUUAUUUAAAAGGGAAAAUGAAUAAUGAAUUUUAGAUUUAUAAAAAUUGAUAUUUUGUAUUAAUAUAUGUUAUUAUAACAAAUAGAGUUAUAAAAUGUAGUUUUGAUUACUUAAAGGGAAAAAAAUCCCAUAAAUACACAAGUACUAGGGCCUCAUUAAAAUUAUCAUAUACCAUGCAAAACAAUAUAGGAUCUAAAGAAAGAUACAUAUAAUGGUAUCCAUGAGGGGAGCAAAACUCUCUCCUUAAAGGGAGCAAGAGAUAGUUUAUUCUAGAACCAAACUUGAAUGGCCAUGACCUGGGAACAUAGUUUUAGCUUACUCCAAAGUACAUGUUCCAAUAGGAAUACAGUUUCAUGAAGUUUUAUAAGACAAAAACAGUCAGACACCCAGGGACGUUCAGGAUAUAAUGGUAAGUAAAUCAGAGAGAUGGUUAGAGCCAUUUAAGGGAAUCUUUCCUGUAUGGUUCAGAUGCUACACUUGACAUUCUUAGCUCUGGGUCUGGUGAGAGCCAGUGGUCUGCUAAGAUAAUGUAUUCCAAAAUGUUUUUACUUGUUAAUCACAAGACCUUAGUUUCAACCCAGAGGUGGGCAGAGAAUGGGGUAUUGAGGAAGCUAAAGCUCCUGGAGUUGGAACAUUUCCACCUUGACUCAUCAAUGCAAAUCUAAUCCAUCACUCAUUCUCUGCAGACACAGCUUCUUUCCAGGAAUUGUUAACAGUGGCGUAGCCCUGCAAUCCCAGUUACAUGGGAAGCCAACCAUGAGGGUUGAUAGUUCAAGACCAGCCUGAGAUUCAGAGCGAGUUCAAGGACAGGCACACAGUGCAUUGAGAUACUGUUAAAAACAAACAUGAAACUAAACAACUAAGCCACAAAAUACAAUCACUGGAUAUGUAGCAACCUAGCAAGUAUGAAUCCUUGUUUCAAUCACUACGGCUGGUAUAACAGCAAAAGAGAAAAGCUCUGUAGAAUAAUCUGUUUGGAACAAAGAAUUCUAUAUAUAGUUCAAAGAAUAUCAUAUAACAAACAAUACCUUAAAAGUUCUGUAACUGUUCACCAAUUCGUCUCUUUUCAAUGUUUUUCCUAGAUGUAAUGCUUACAACAAGCUUCCAAGGGAGGAUGGUAUUGUGAUUAUUUUUUUAUGAUUGCACUCCAGUUUGCAUGUAGAAGCAUGGAGACACUAGCACAUUUUGAGCAGUGCAUGUAUAAAUGAAGCAGCCAUGACAGGUAGUAUCCUCAGUAAGGCGCUGAAGCAGACUUUUCAUAAGAUGAAUGGAGAGGCUUUUCUAUAGCUUUGACCUAAGAAAGCUUUGAAUGCCUAUAAGGAUUUGUAGCGUCCUUCCUGUCUUAAUAAAUUGAAUUAUUUCUUUGAACCCAUAUAUUUCUGGAUCCAUCUACUUCCUUUAUACUGCAUACUAUGGACAUUGCCAUGGCAUGCACAUGGUGGGUCAUACAGAAGGGCAGCCAAAUUUCUAAAUAAUUUUAAUUUUGUUAACCUUUGGACUGUUAUUUCAACAAGAUCAUUGCUGUGAAAGUAUUUGGACUUUCUCAACAUUUUUUGCGAGGUGUGCAGUCAAAGUUGCCAUUUGUUUGGGGCAAGGUUUAGGCAGAUGAUGUAAAUUGAAUGUAUCUAUAAUUAGUUAACUAGUUAAUUCUCAAAAGUGGAAAGGCAUUCAUCACAUGGAACGUGGCAUCAGAGCAACUGAAGUCAGAGAAAUGAAACUGGUUAGCUACCAUGAAGACUUUUACCAUGAGUAUUAUUAUUGGCAUAAUUAUUGUUUUUGUAUCCAUGGCAUAUAUAUACUUUGAGCUUAUUUGUCACAAACAUGAAUGUCAAACCACAGUGAAAUAUGUAUUUGAUAUGAAGCUAUAAUCUUCUUGUCCAAACACUAGGCCCAACCAGACCUGCACAUCUUUUCUUCUACCCCAUCCUGCUCUAUCCACGAGAUACAGAACUAACAAAAGAGGCCCCAUAUAUCUAGAUAUCUUUGCAAAAUACAAAGGAAAUGAGAUUAAAGGAAUUACUGCAGUAUUUGAGAAAGAAUAAGUAGGUCAUGAGAUUUAUUUAUAUGAUCAUUACCUGUAAUUGUAAAGACACCAUAAUCUUGCCUCUGUACACAGGGAACUAAGGAACUGAAGUUCUUUGAGCAUAGCAAUACAGAACUUUAAUUUCAAGGAGAACUACUAUUUCCCUCCCCCUACCUUUUUGGGAGGGGUUUGUAGUUAAAGCUAAAAAUCAUGAAGUGCUUUCUCCCAAAUACAUUGUCUGAACUUUUUUUUCUUUCCAAAGUCACAUUUAAAAGAUGAGCUUAGUGACUAUUUCUAAAUAGACUGCCAAGG
rnacentral:lncRNA from 1 species